UUUCCAUUUCAAUCAAGCAACAGAUGGAGAAAUCAUCCUUACCCGAUGGUUCAAAGUCAAAUGGUGGGAUAAAUUUAACCACCAAGAUAAAUUAUCACUAAAGUUGGUACAAAAUUUCCUUUCCAAAAAUAGCUUCUUGCCACCUCCAAAAGAACAAACCACUUUCUUGGCACAGAAGUCCUUCAUAAUUUCAAAGCUAGCAGCAGCCCAGACAGAAGAGGAUUUCUUACAGUUGAUCAAACAAUUGUCAGAAACCGCUUCUUCCAAAGGAAAAUCAAAAGCUUCAUCUUCCUCUUCCAGCACCAGCUCGACAACAAUAGACCUAGAUGGUGACUCAAAUGAAGAUGACUGUUUUGAGAUUUUCAAGCCCAUUAAAUGAUAUCUCUGCAAAGCCCAUGGAUUGAAAACCAGAAAUGGCAGCCCAAAAAUAUUUUGUAAUGGGCCAAAAGGCCCAAUGAAAAAAAGAAAGUCAUAUAAAGAAAAAAGACAAAAAAAAGCAAAAGAUUCUUUUUCAAAGCAUGGCCGACAUCUUUCUCAAAAGACGUAAAGCAUCUUACUUCAUUAUCACAAGACUACAAGCAUUAUCACAAGACUACAAGAACAAGUGGAGCCCUCUUUAUUCCACUAAGAAGAGCAUCCAAAGCUUCAAUGAGAGCAUCCAAAGCUUGAAGACCUCUAUAAAUAGAGGAGUUCCUCUUAGAAGAAGGCAGACUGAAAA
rnacentral:lncRNA from 1 species